rnacentral:rRNA from 1 species
AUUGAACGCUGGCGGCAGGCCUAACACAUGCAAGUCGAGCGGAUGAGUGGAGCUUGCUCCAUGAUUCAGCGGCGGACGGGUGAGUAAUGCCUAGGAAUCUGCCUGGUAGUGGGGGACAACGUUUCGAAAGGAACGCUAAUACCGCAUACGUCCUACGGGAGAAAGCAGGGGACCUUCGGGCCUCGCGCUAUCAGAUGAGCCUAGGUCGGAUUAGCUAGUAGGUGAGGUAAAGGCUCACCUAGGCGACGAUCCGUAACUGGUCUGAGAGGAUGAUCAGUCACACUGGAACUGAGACACGGCCCAGACUCCUACGGGAGGCAGCAGUGGGGAAUAUUGGACAAUGGGCGAAAGCCUGAUCCAGCCAUGCCGCGUGUGUGAAGAAGGUCUUCGGAUUGUAAAGCACUUUAAGUUGGGAGGAAGGGCAGUAAGCUAAUACCUUGCUGUUUUGACGUUACCAACAGAAUAAGCACCGGCUAACUUCGUGCCAGCCGCCGCGGUAAUAC